rnacentral:rRNA from 2 species
GCUCAGAUUGAACGCUGGCGGCAGGCCUAACACAUGCAAGUCGAGCGGCAGCACGGGUACUUGUACCUGGUGGCGAGCGGCGGACGGGUGAGUAAUGCCUAGGAAUCUGCCUGGUAGUGGGGGAUAACGUUCGGAAACGAACGCUAAUACCGCAUACGUCCUACGGGAGAAAGCAGGGGACCUUCGGGCCUUGCGCUAUCAGAUGAGCCUAGGUCGGAUUAGCUAGUUGGUGAGGUAAUGGCUCACCAAGGCGACGAUCCGUAACUGGUCUGAGAGGAUGAUCAGUCACACUGGAACUGAGACACGGUCCAGACUCCUACGGGAGGCAGCAGUGGGGAAUAUUGGACAAUGGGCGAAAGCCUGAUCCAGCCAUGCCGCGUGUGUGAAGAAGGUCUUCGGAUUGUAAAGCACUUUAAGUUGGGAGGAAGGGCAGUUACCUAAUACGUAAUUGUUUUGACGUUACCGACAGAAUAAGCACCGGCUAACUCUGUGCCAGCAGCCGCGGUAAUACAGAGGGUGCAAGCGUUAAUCGGAAUUACUGGGCGUAAAGCGCGCGUAGGUGGUUCGUUAAGUUGGAUGUGAAAUCCCCGGGCUCAACCUGGGAACUGCAUUCAAAACUGUCGAGCUAGAGUAUGGUAGAGGGUGGUGGAAUUUCCUGUGUAGCGGUGAAAUGCGUAGAUAUAGGAAGGAACACCAGUGGCGAAGGCGACCACCUGGACUGAUACUGAC